rnacentral:rRNA from 1 species
AACGCUGGCGGCGUGCUUAACACAUGCAAGUCGAGCGGUAAGGCCCUUUCGGGGGUACACGAGCGGCGAACGGGUGAGUAACACGUGGGUGACCUGCCCUCAGCUCUGGGAUAAGCCUGGGAAACCGGGUCUAAUACUGGAUAUGACUCCAUGACGCAUGUUGUGGGGUGGAAAGCCUUGUGCGGCUGAGGAUGGGCCCGCGGCCUAUCAGCUUGUUGGUGGGGUGAUGGCCACCAAGGCGACGACGGGUAGCCGGCCUGAGAGGGCGACCGGCCACACUGGGACUGAGACACGGCCCAGACUCCUACGGGAGGCAGCAGUGGGGAAUCUUGCGCAAUGGGCGAAAGCCUGACGCAGCGACGCCGCGUGAGGGAUGACGGCCU